rnacentral:rRNA from 1 species
AGUGAACGCUGGCGGUAGGCCUAACACAUGCAAGUCGAACGGCAGCACAGUAAGAGCUUGCUCUUACGGGUGGCGAGUGGCGGACGGGUGAGGAAUACAUCGGAAUCUACUUUUUCGUGGGGGAUAACGUAGGGAAACUUACGCUAAUACCGCAUACGACCUACGGGUGAAAGCAUGGGAUCUUCGGACCUUGCGCGAUUGAAUGAGCCGAUGUCGGAUUAGCUAGUUGGCGGGGUAAAGGCCCACCAAGGCGACGAUCCGUAGCUGGUCUGAGAGGAUGAUCAGCCACACUGGAACUGAGAAACGGUACAGACGCCUACGGGAGGCAGAAGGGGGGAAUAUUGGACAAUGGGCGCAAGCCUGAUCCAGCAAUACCGAGUGGGUGAAGAAGGCCUUCGGGUUGUAAAGACCUUUUGUUGGGAAAGAAAAGCAGCAGGUUAAUACCCCGAUGUUCUGACGGUAACAAAAGAAUAAGCACCGGCUAACUUCGUG